AUGUUUCAUACUGAAGUUGUCUACCGUCAAUCAUUUAUUUUGUUAUCCCCUUCUGGACGCGCCCAGGAUCCAACUCCUGGCCUCCGAGUUGGGAGGUUUUAUGUAAACAGACUGAUUCUUAAUUGUUAUGUUUCAUGCACUUUCGUUCGUGAACUUGGAGACAACUUGGAGACUAUGCUUAUUAGACAGGCUGCUUCUUGGCAGUGCAAAGUAAGCAGAACAAGCCACACAACCAAGCAAUCAAAUGAACGGGAACUUGACUGCGGGCUUGGAAUCCUACAAACACAAAGCAGAAAAGGCUGCUAUGGACUAUGGAUUUCACAUGGCCAUUACCAAGUGGAAUGA
rnacentral:rRNA from 1 species